rnacentral:rRNA from 1 species
UACGGGGGAGCAAGCGUUGUUCGGAUUUACUGGGCGUAAAGGGCGCGUAGGCGGUCAGCACAAGUCAGUUGUGAAAUCUCCGGGCUUAACUCGGAAAGGUCAACUGAUACUGUGCGACUAGAGUGCGGAAGGGGCAACUGGGAAUUCUCGGUGUAGCGGUGAAAUGCGUAGAUAUCGAGAGGAACACCGGUGGCGAAGGCGGUUCUCUGGGCCUUACCUGACGCUGAGGAGCGAAAGCGUGGGGAGCAAACAGG